rnacentral:rRNA from 1 species
AUUGAACGCUGGCGGAAUGCUUUACACAUGCAAGUCGAACGGCAGCACGGACUUCGGUCUGGUGGCGAGUGGCGAACGGGUGAGUAAUGUAUCGGAACGUGCCCAGUCGUGGGGGAUAACGUAGUGAAAAUUACGCUAAUACCGCAUACGAUCUAUGGAUGAAAGCGGGGGAUCGCAAGACCUCGCGCGAUUGGAGCGGCCGAUAUCAGAUUAGGUAGUUGGUGGGGUAAAGGCCCACCAAGCCAACGAUCUGGAGCUGGUCUGAGAGGACGACCAGCCACACUGGAACUGAGACACGGUCCAGACUCCUACGGGAGGCAGCAGUGGGGAAUUUUGGACAAUGGGCGAAAGCCUGAUCCAGCCAUUCCGCGUGCAGGAUGAGGGCCCUCGGGUUGUAAACUGCUUUUGUACAGAACGAAAAGGUUUCUACUAAUACUAGGAGCUCAUGACGGUACUAUAAGAAUAAGCACCGGCUAACUACGUGCCAGCCGCCGCCGUAA